CAAAAAUAGCCAAAUUAUGCCUUGCAUGUGUCCAAUAGGAGAUUCCAUGGUGUCUUGAGUCACUGAUCUAUUUAAUCUUAUUUUUCCCAUUCAGGUAUGGAGCAAUUUGCUAAAGUUUGAACAUGACAAAAUACCCCAGGACCAUUCUAGUCAAGACCAUUGCAUGCACGAGCUGCUUGAGGAAACUUUUUAUUUUUUUCCUCUAUUUUAUGUUGUCUUUUAAUUAUUAGUCUUGUACCGUAGUAUCGAAUCUGUCAGUCUAGUAAAGAUUUUCUAGUCUUUUGUUAUCAUACUUCCUAUGAUGUAUUUGAAAACCAAAAAAAGUUUAUAUAUGAAAAGUUCAAAAAGAUUUUUGUUUCUUAGUUUAUUUUGUCCACUACUUUUUCCAGAACUACGCUUGAUCUGAUUCAUGAGGAACAUAAUACGUAGGCAACCUACAUAGGGUUCGAUCGAAUCAUUUUUCAAAAAAUAAAAAAAACGAGAAGAAGGAAAAAAAAGAGAAUGAAAUUGCGGGACAUGAGAAAUGAGAGGAAAGAAAAGAGCGAUAAUCAGAAAGAAAAGAGGGGAAAAGAAAUGAAAAACCAAGCGGUGUUAGAAAGGAAGAUCAAAAAGGAAAUGGGGCAAGAAGAGUAAAAUUAGGAUGAUGCCAUAUGACCUUCGUACCCUCGAAGCCAUUCUAGAACCGUUAACUAUGGCUAGGGGCAUUGCACGCAAUGUGAUAUUUCUAUCUGAUAAAUGCUCUAAUGCUAACAUAUUGGCUUUGUUUUACUCCUCUUUGUUACUUUCAUUGUUAUUAUAAUAGAGGGUGGUUAGUUUGUGGUACUUUGGUGAUUUGUCCAUACAACACAAGGUCAAAAGCAAGGGAGACAUGGCUAGUAAAGAUUUGGACACUGGAGUUGUAGACCCACCAAGGGAGAUUGUGGAGUUGGAAUCUGAAUUGAAAGAGGAGGUCCAAAGGUUGAAACAGUAGAUGGCAGAAAUGUAUCAGUCUUGGAUCAGGGGGCAUCCUCCACCUUCAUUCCCCACUAACUACACUGAAAACCCUACAACUAUCCCACCACUAUCACAAGCCCAGGUUCCCACUACUAUUGAUCAUUACCCUCAACACGCCUUGGGCUUUACCCCUUACCAGAAUUACCUUGGAACUUCCUCCCAAAUUUUCCAUGCUACACCAACCAAAACAACCUCAUACCCUGCUCCGACAUCUACUCCUAUUUUUGUAGCUCCUCCACCAGCUACUCUUCCUCGAUUCUAUAGCGAUGUUGUGUUCAAAGUGCCCGAUGCCCAAGGAAAGAGACCCAAGGAAACUUUUAGAGAAUUUUGGUUUAGAUGGAACGAGCAAGUUAAUCGGGUCAGUUUUCCGAUUGAUAGAAAAGAUGUUGCUGAACCCCGCCAACGACAUGAUCUAGUGGGCAUUCCUACUAAAUGCUUUCAGCUUCAAUACAGAUCCCAUGAAUAUCCUCGUACUCUAGAUAAUCCUCACCAAUGCUACUUUCCUCCACAAAAUCCCCAAAGUCAUACCCCACCUCCCCAGUACUCUAUCCACAAUGAACCGCCAUAUGCUCCAUACUCACAAAACCCGCAACGACUUGCACCGCCUCCAUAGAUGUCUUACCCACCUCUACAAGCAUAUUAACCCCCUACCCGAAAGAGGUUCCAACCAAGGUCGGAGUACAAAAUAAGAAGGCAGCAGCAAAGAGAAAAGUCUUUCACUCCAGUCGGAAAAUCCUACACAAGCUUGUUUGAAAAGUUAAAACAAUCUGGCCUGAUUGAGCCACUCAUCAUCUAUACUCCGGACCCAUAUGCGAAAGGUUUUGAUCCUACUGUACGGUGCAUGUACCACUCUAAUGUCCAAGGGCAUAACAUUGAAAAUUGUCGUGCUUUGAAAAUGGAGAUAGAAAGAAUGAUUCAAGAAGGGAUAAUUGUGGUCCAAGACAGUGACACCCAGAACAUUGCACAGAAUCCUUUACCUACACGUGAUGAUGCACACUUUGUGGGGAAGAUGCGUGGUGACAAGGAGUAUGAGAAUCCUCUUGGGAACUUGCUGACUGAAGUUAAUGAUAUUGAGAUUGGUUAAGGUCCCAGUAUUUUUGAUGUGCAAUCCAGUGGCUCAGAUAUCGAGCUUGGUAAUUGGAAAGACACUCCUUGGCUAGCCAGGGAGGAGUUUUGGUAGUUUAUUUUGUUGUCAUUUCUGUUUAUCAGGGUUAUUUCAGGGUUGUAAUCCAGACAUUGUCUUGUGGUUCAAACUCUUCUUCUUUUUGCCUAGUUCGUUUUAUUAUAGUAACUCGUCUAGUGUUAUCCAGGAUUGUAACCCAUGUCUAUUUUGUUUGUAUUGUUCAAACCCUGUUCACCAUCUAUCUAAUGCAAUCUCCUAUUUUCUGUCGGUUUUUGUUUAGGUCAUUUUUCCUUAGUUCUUUUCAUGCCGACUUUAGUGACAUGACAUGCACACAUAAUUUUUAGCCUGGUCUUGAAAGUUAGUUUAAUCAUGAAGCAAUGACACAGUUUGAACACGAUAAAAGAGGUAUUUGAGGAAACAAGUAGUGAUUCACUUAUUCUGAGAUGACCUGAAGCUUAAAUUGAGUGAAACUGAGGCAGUUGGUCUGAAAAAGCAAGAGGUUGAUGAGAGCAUACAACAAGGGAAUGUCUCUUAGCAGUUUGAGGUAGAUCAAACAGUGUUGAAAUGCAUUCUUCCACAUCAAGAUAAGGUUGAGUCAAUCUGCUUCGAACUGGCAAGGGUCAUUCAUUGGGACAAAGGUAUUGCCCAUUGGCACUUUUUGUUUGUGUUGAUGCCAUCAAUAGAGACUACGCUUGAUUUGUUUGCUUAUCUUCAAUUACAUGUUUGUACUUGGCAUUUUUAAGUUUGGUAUGGUGAAGGCAUUUUAUUCUGCUACCCAAACACUUUUAACCUUUGCUACCCAUUUUGAGCCCUAAUUUUUUGUUUCAUACCCCUCUUUUGGAAUCAGAAAUAGAGUUAGGAACUAGAAAAGGAAAAGAAAAAGAAAAUAAAAAGAGAUAAAAAAAGGGAAAAGAAGAAAAAGAAAGGAAAAAAAAAGAGAAAAGAAAAA
rnacentral:lncRNA from 1 species